rnacentral:rRNA from 1 species
AUUGAACGCUGGCGGCAGGCCUAACACAUGCAAGUCGAACGAGUGGCGGACGGGUGAGUAAUGUCUGGGAAACUGCCCGAUGGAGGGGGAUAACUACUGGAAACGGUAGCUAAUACCGCAUACCAUCGGAUGUGCCCAUAUGGGAUUAGCUAGUAGGUGGGGUAACGGCUCACCUAGGCGACGAUCCCUAGCUGGUCUGAGAGGGUGACUAGCCACUCUGGAACUGAGACACGGUCCAGACUCCUAGGGGAGGCAGCAGUGGGGAUUAUUUCACAUUGUGCGCAAUCCUGAUGCAGCCAUGCCGCGUGUAUGAAGAGGGCCUUCGGGUUGUAAAGUACUUUCAGCGAGGAGGCGUUACUCGCAGAAGAAGCACCGGCUAACUCCGUGCCAGCAGCCGCGGUAAUA